GGCUAAGCUAUAAAGGGCAAACGGUGGAUGCCUUGGUGCCGGGAGGCGAUGAAAGACGUGGAAAGCUGCGAUAAGCUUCGGGGAGUUGCUUAACAAACUUUGAUCCGGAGAUUUCUGAAUGGGGAAACCUGUCAUGGUAAAUACUGUGACAUGUUCAGGUGAAUACAUAGCCUGAUCAAGCCAACGGGGAGAACUGAAACAUCUUAGUACCCCCAGGAAGAGAAAGUAAAAACGAUUUUCCUAGUAGCGGCGAGCGAACGGGAAACAGCCCAAACCUGCCAUGUGUGAUAGCCCGAAGGCGUUGCAUGUCAGGGGUCGUGGGAUCUGAAUUGUACCUGUUUCGGAAGGUGCGGAGAGUUACAAAGGUGAUUUGUAGUCGAACGGACUGGAAAGUCCGGCCAUAGCAGGUGACAGCCCUGUAGGCGAAAUGAAUCACUCUCUCUUUUCAGACACCCAAGUACUGCGGAACACGAGAAAUUCUGUGGGAAUUUGUGAGGACCAUCUCAUAAGGCUAAAUACUACCCGGCAACCGAUAGUGAACCAGUACCGUGAGGGAAAGGUGAAAAGUACCCCUGUGAGGGGAGUGAAAUAGUACCUGAAACCGUUUGCCUACAAGCAGUGGGGGCUAUGGCAUUAGCCAUAGUGACCGCGUGCCUUUUGCAUAAUGAGUCAGCGAGUUACUUAAUGUAGCAAGGUUAAGCCGUGAGGUGUAGCCGCAGGGAAACCGAGUCUUAACAGGGCGCCAAGUUGCAUUGAGUAGACCCGAAACCAGGUGAUCUAGCCAUGGCCAGGUUGAAGCGCGAGUAAAAUCGCGUGGAGGACCGAACCCAUAUAGGUUAAAAACUAUUGGGAUGAGCUGUGGUUAGGGGUGAAAGGCCAAACAAACCUGGAAAUAGCUGGUUCUCUCCGAAAUAUAUUUAGGUAUAGCCUCACAUGUUUCUCAUCGGGGGUAGAGCACUGGAUGGGCUAGGGGUCUCACCAGAUUACCAAACCUAACCAAACUCCGAAUACCGAUGAUGUAAAGUGUGGGAGUCAGCCCGCGGGAGCUAAGUUCCGCGGACGAGAGGGAAACAACCCAGACCGCCAGCUAAGGUCCCCAAGUCUAUGUUAAGUGGGGAAGGAUGUGGAAAUGCCCAGACAAUCAGGAGGUUGGCUUAGAAGCAGCCAUCCUUUAAAGAAAGCGUAAUAGCUCACUGAUCGAGUGGUUCUGCGCCGAAAAUGUAACGGGGCUCAAACAUAGCACCGAAGCUGCGGAUAGAAAUUUAUUUCUAUGGUAGGAGAGCGUUGUGUAAGUAUUGAAGCGUGACUGUAAGGUCAUGUGGAGUUUACACAAGAGACCAUGCUGACAUGAGUAGCGAUAAAGGGGGUGAGAAACCCCCUCGCCGAUAGCCCAAGGAUUCCUGAGUAAAGCUAAUCUUCUCAGGGUUAGUCGAUCCCUAAGCCGAGGCCGAAAGGCGUAGGCGAUGGAAAACAGGUUAAUAUUCCUGUACCACCGAGUUAUCGUUUGAGAGAAGGGGGGACGCAGGAGGGCAAGUCAUCCGUCUGCUGGAAUAGGCGGUUCAAGCUGGUAGGCUUAAGGAGCAGGCAAAUCCGUUCCUUUUUAAGGCCGAGAAGCGAUGAGGAGGGAUCUGAUCCCAUAAACUGACUGCACCCAUGCUGCCAAGAAAAGCCUCUAUCGAGAUAACAGGUGAUCGUACCAAAACCGACACAGGUAGGCAGGGAGAGUAUCCCGAGGCGCUUGAGAGAACCCUGGUUAAGGAACUCGGCAAAAUGAUACCGUAACUUCGGGAUAAGGUAUGCCCCCCCGUGUUAGAAGACUUGCUCUUCAAAGCGUGGGAGGGUCGCAGAGAAACGGCGGUAGCGACUGUUUACUAAAAACAUAGGACUCUGCAAAGUCGUAAGACGAGGUAUAGGGUCUGACGCCUGCCCGGUGCCGGAAGGUUAAGGGGAUUUGUUAGCGCAAGCGAAGCUUUGAACCGAAGCCCCGGUAAACGGCGGCCGUAACUAUAACGGUCCUAAGGUAGCGAAAUUCCUUGUCGGGUAAGUUCCGACCUGCACGAAUGGCGUAACGACUUCCGCACUGUCUCAACCAGGGACUCAGCGAAAUUGGAAUGGCGGUGAAGAUACCGUCUACCCGCGAAAAGACGGAAAGACCCCGGCACCUUUACUACAGCUUGACAUUGGAUUUUGGUACAUGAUGUGCAGGAUAGGUGGGAGACUUUGAAGCGGGCACGCAAGUGUUCGUGGAGUUACCCUUGAAAUACCACCCUUCAUGUACUAUGGUUCUAACGUGGGUCCCUUACCGGGAUUACGGACAGUGUCUGGCGGGUAGUUUGACUGGGGCGGUCGCCUCCCAAAGAGUAACGGAGGCGCGCGAAGGUUCCCUCAGGCUGAUUGGAAACCAGCUUAAGAGUGUAAAGGCAUAAGGGAGCUUGACUGCGAGAGAGACAUUUCGAGCAGGUAGGAAACUAGGUCUUAGUGAUCCGGCGGUUCUGUAUGGAAGGGCCGUCGCUCAACGGAUAAAAGGUACGCCGGGGAUAACAGGCUUAUCGCCCCCAAGAGUUCACAUCGACGGGGCGGUUUGGCACCUCGAUGUCGGCUCAUCACAUCCUGGGGCUGGAGCAGGUCCCAAGGGUUUGGCUGUUCGCCAAUUAAAGUGGUACGUGAGCUGGGUUUAAAACGUCGUGAGACAGUUUGGUCCCUAUCUUUCGUGGGCGUAGGAUAUUUGAGGAGAUCUGUUCCUAGUACGAGAGGACCGGAAUGGACGAACCAAUGGUGUUCCUGUUGUCGUGCCAACGGCAUUGCAGGGUAGCUAAGUUCGGAACGGAUAACCGCUGAAAGCAUCUAAGCGGGAAGCCAACUUCAAGAUUAGAUAUCCCAUCACAUAAAGUGACUAAAGACCCCUUGAAGACUACAAGGUUGAUAGGCCGGGUGUGUAAGCACAGUAAUGUGUUCAGCUAACCGGUACUAACAGGUCGUGAGGCUUAGCCAC
rfam:Desulfobacterium autotrophicum HRM2, complete genome.